rnacentral:rRNA from 1 species
GACGUAGGGCGCGAGCGUUGUCCGGAUUUACUGGGCGUAAAGAGCGCGCAGGCGGUCGUUCAAGUCGCGUGUGAAAGCCCCCGGCUCAACUGGGGAGGGUCACGCGAUACUGAUCGACUCGAAGGCAGGAGAGGGUAGUGGAAUUCCCGGUGUAGUGGUGAAAUGCGUAGAUAUCGGGAGGAACCCCAGAGGCGAAGGCGGCGCUCUGGCUCGCAACUGACGCUCAGACACGACAGCAUGGGGAGCGAACGGG